GACGAACGCUGGCGGCGUGCCUAAUACAUGCAAGUAGAACGCUGACGAGAGGAGCUUGCUCUUCUUGGAUGAGUUGCGGACGGGUGAGUAACGCGUAGGUAACCUGCCUUUUAGCGGGGGAUAACUAUUGGAAACGAUAGCUAAUACCACAUAACACUGGCUGACACAUGUCAUUUAUUUGAAAGGGGCAAUUGCUGCACUACAAGAUGGACCUGCGUUGUAUUAGCUAGUAGGUGAGGUAAUGGCUCACCUAGGCGACGAUACAUAGCCGACCUGAGAGGGUGGUCGGGCAACAUGGGACCGAGACAACGCCCAGAAUCCCUCGGGGGGGAGGAGUAGGGGAUUUUUGGAAAUGGGGGGAAGGCUGACCGAGCCAAGACGCGUGAGUGAAGAAGGUCUUCGGAGCGUAAAGGCCUGUUGUUAGUGAAGAAAGGGCGUGAGAGUGGAAAGCUCACACUGUGACGGUAGCUAAACAGAAAGCGACGGCUAACUACGUG
rnacentral:rRNA from 1 species